GCCAGACUCCUACGGGAGGCAGCAGUGGGGAAUAUUGCACAAUGGGGGAAACCCUGAUGCAGCGACGCCGCGUGAGUGAAGAAGUAUUUCGGUAUGUAAAGCUCUAUCAGCAGGGAAGAAAAUGACGGUACCUGACUAAGAAGCCCCGGCUAACUACGUGCCAGCAGCCGCGGUAAUACGUAGGGGGCAAGCGUUAUCCGGAUUUACUGGGUGUAAAGGGAGCGUAGACGGUGAUGCAAGUCAGAAGUGAAAGCCCGGGGCUCAACUCCGGGACUGCUUUUGAAACUGUGUGACUGGAGUGCAGGAGAGGUAAGCGGAAUUCCUGGUGUAGCGGUGAAAUGCGUAGAUAUCAGGAGGAACACCAGUGGCGAAGGCGGCUUACUGGACUGUAACUGACGUUGAGGCUCGAAAGCGUGGGGAGCAAACAGGAUUAGAUACCCGUGUA
rnacentral:rRNA from 1 species